GAUGAACGCUGGCGGCGUGCCUAAUACAUGCAAGUCGAGCGAACAGAUGAGGAGCUUGCUCCUCUGACGUUAGCGGCGGACGGGUGAGUAACACGUGGAUAACCUACCUAUAAGACUGGGAUAACUUCGGGAAACCGGAGCUAAUACCGGAUAAUAUAUUGAACCGCAUGGUUCAAUAGUGAAAGACGGUUUUGCUGUCACUUAUAGAUGGAUCCGCGCCGCAUUAGCUAGUUGGCAAGGUAACGGCUUACCAAGGCAACGAUGCGUAGCCGACCUGAGAGGGUGAUCGGCCACACUGGAACUGAGACACGGUCCAGACUCCUACGGGAGGCAGCAAUAGGGAAUCUUCCGCAAUGGGCGAAAGCCUGACGGAGCAACGCCGCGUGAGUGAUGAAGGUCUUCGGAUCGUAAAACUCUGUUAUUAGGGAAGAACAAAUGUGUAAGUAACUAUGCACGUCUUGACGGUACCUAAUCAGAAAGCCACGGCUAACUACGUG
rnacentral:rRNA from 1 species